rnacentral:tRNA from 1 species
GGAUUGUAGCUCAAUGGUAAGAGCGCUUGCCUAACAUGCAUGAGGCACUGGGUUCAAUCCCAAGCACCA